rnacentral:lncRNA from 1 species
GCGGCAACUGAUUUUGUAGGAGUUCAACUCCACGUACAACAGUAAAUAAUACAUGUAUCUCUUCGUUAAAGUAUUCACCACAGCAUAGCAUUCUCUGAUUUUCAAUAUUUGAUCAGUCGAAUAAGAAAAUUGCGAUUUAGAAAUGUACAUACCUUUCGAAGUGGUGACAAUUGCUCCACUCAAGCACAACCGGAAAAUCCUC